GACGAACGCUGGCGGCGUGCUUAACACAUGCAAGUCGAACGGAAAGGCCCUGCUUUUGUGGGGUGCUCGAGUGGCGAACGGGUGAGUAACACGUGAGUAACCUGCCCUUGACUUUGGGAUAACUUCAGGAAACUGGGGAUAAUACCGGAUAGGAGCUCCUGCUGCAUGGUGGGGGUUGGAAAGUGUCGGCGGUUGGGGAUGGACUCGCGGCUUAUCAGCUUGUUGGUGGGGUAGUGGCUUACCAAGGCUUUGACGGGUAGCCGGCCUGAGAGGGUGACCGGCCACAUUGGGACUGAGAUACGGCCCAGACUCCUACGGGAGGCGGCAGUGGGGAAUAUUGCACAAUGGGCGGAAGCCUGAUGCAGCAACGCCGCGUGCGGGAUGACGGCCUUCGGGUUGUAAACCGCUUUCGCCUGUGGCGAAGCGUGAGUGACGGUAAUGGGUAAAGAAGCACCGGCUAACUACGUG
rnacentral:rRNA from 1 species